rnacentral:rRNA from 1 species
CAGUCGCCACGGUAAUACAGAGGGUGCAAGCGUUAAUCGGAUUUACUGGGCGUAAAGGGCGCGUAGGUGGUUAUUUAAGUGAGAUGUGAAAGCCCCGGGCUUAACCUGGGAACUGCAUCUUAUACUGGGUAACUGGAGUGCAGUAGAGGGUAGUGGAAUUUCCGGUGUAGCGGUGAAAUGCGUAGAGAUCGGGAGGAACAUCAGUGGCGAAGGCGGCCAUCUGGGACAACACUGACGCUGAAGCACGAAAGCGUGGGGAGCAAACAGGAUUAGAUACCCCCGUAGUCCCUGUCUCUUAUAC